CUUGUCCAAACCGGAGCUAACGACUGCGAAGAAAGCAAUCCUACCGAGACCUAGGACCGGUCACACCUCCUCGCACACUCUCUGGUAGCAAAGAGUUCACGCUACCCUCAAAGUUCUGAGACGGUAAACUUCAUACGGCACCCAGGCUGUGCACCAGUUCAAAGAGUGUGUUGAUGAAGAGCUACCAGGUUCCCGGCGGUUCGCUCCCGACCAGCUCCAUCUUUUGCACCAUAUAUCAAUCGCUUAUCGUGCGCUCCAGACGCUAAAAAACCUCUCCUUCUUUCUCCUAUCCGCGUCCUACAAAUCGUCACCUGUCUUCUCCGCACUCCCUCCACGGUCAUCUCAUCCGAUAACCCAAACUCUGAAAAUAAUUGACGUCAUUCUCCAAAACAUGUCUCACAAUACUGAGACACGGAAUGCAAGCUGUGGAGAGGCAGGGGUAACAAUGUAACCUGGGCACACAAUGACACGGGUUGCGGAGGCUGGCUCGAAACAAAGACCGGAAAAUCGUCAGCUUGCGAAAUUGCAGUCAUUGCAUGCAACGCUGCCGGUUCCUGGACUGAUGAGCUGUAUCGAGUCAUGAACAUCUCCAACCAUCAAGUCAGACAUUGUCAAACACUCGAGCAUUAACGGUACAAGACAUUGUUGAGCUGUAACGAGACAAGACAUUGGUCGGGCUGUAACAAGACAGUCCGCCUUGAAUGUAGGCCGUCGAUCAGAGAGCUGCACGGAUCCAGUUUCGGUCUCGAG
rnacentral:misc_RNA from 1 species